rnacentral:rRNA from 1 species
CCUACGGGUGACAGCAGUGAGGAAUCUUGGUCAAUGGACGCAAGUCUGAACCAGCCAUGCCGCGUGCAGGAAGACGGCUCUAUGAGUUGUAAACUGCUUUUGUACGAGGCGAAACGCAGAUACGUGUAUCUGUCUGAAAGUAUCGUACGAAUAAGGAUGGGCUAACUCCGUGCCAGCCGCCGCGGUAAUACGGAGGGUUCAAGCGUUAUCCGGAUUUAUUGGGUUUAAAGGGUGCGUAGGCGGUCGGAUAAGUUAGAGGUGAAAUCCCGGGGCUCAACUUCGGAAUUGCCUCUGAAACUGUUCGGCUAGAGAGUAGUAGCGGUAGGCGGAAUGUAUGGUGUAGCGGUGAAAGGCGUAGAGAUCAGACAGAACACCGGUUGCGAAGGCAGCUUACCAGGCUACUUCUGACGUUGAGGCACGAAAGCGUGGGGAGCAAACAGGAUUAGAUACCCCAGUAGUC